rnacentral:lncRNA from 10 species
UCUCUAUAAUGAGGAUUACAAAACAUUGCUCAAAGAAAUCAGAGAAGACACAAACAAAUGGAAAACAUCUCAUGCUCAUGGGAUCCCUUGGUGGUGACUAUCUUGCUGAAUUCCUGAGUAUUGCUGCUCUAAAUCACUGAUAUGUCAGUGACACUCAUUCCUGAGCUUUUGCAAAAUGACCUUCCAGCAUACAGAAAUAAAAUGUUAGAACU